UCCAUCUAACCGUAUGCCCAUUUAAUGACCUAUUUAAGUAGAAUAUCAAUAUAUGGGUUAUAACAAGACAUUGACUACUAACUAAAUUUUCAUAAAAUUUAAUAGAAUUAACAUGAACCUUACCUUAAUCAACCCUUAGGAAGGCCGAAUGUCCUAGAGAAUUUCCUCCUUCUUUCACCUAAGUUACGGCACUUGCAAGAGGAAGAAUAUGACUUCUC
rnacentral:lncRNA from 1 species